rnacentral:rRNA from 1 species
GCCGCGUGAGGGAUGACGGCCUUCGGGUUGUAAACCUCUUUCAGCAGGGAAGAAGCCACAAGUGACGGUACCUGCAGAAGAAGCGCCGGCUAACUACGUGCCAGCAGCCGCGGUAAUACGUAGGGCGCAAGCGUUGUCCGGAAUUAUUGGGCGUAAAGAGCUCGUAGGCGGUUUGUCGCGUCUGCUGUGAAAGCCCGGGGCUUAACCCCGGGUGUGCAGUGGGUACGGGCAGACUAGAGUGCAGUAGGGGAGACUGGAAUUCCUGGUGUAGCGGUGGAAUGCGCAGAUAUCAGGAGGAACACCGAUGGCGAAGGCAGGUCUCUGGGCUGUUACUGACGCUGAGGAGCGAAAGCAUGGGGAGCGAACAGGAUUAGAUACCCUGGUAGUCCAUGCCGUAAACGUUGGGCACUAGGUGUGGGGGACAUUCCACGUUUUCCGCGCCGUAGCUAACGCAUUAAGUGCCCCGCCUGGGGAGUACGGCCGCAAGGCUAAAACUCAAAGGAAUUGACGGGGGCCCGCACAAGCGGCGGAGCAUGCGGAUUAAUUCGAUGCAACGCGAAGAACCUUACCAAGGCUUGACAUAUACCGGAUCGUUCCAGAGAUGGUUCUUCCCCUUUGGGGUCGGUAUACAGGUGGUGCAUGGUUGUCGUCAGCUCGUGUCGUGAGAUGUUGGGUUAAGUCCCGCAACGAGCGCAACCCUCGUUCCAUGUUGCCAGCACGUGAUGGUGGGGACUCAUGGGAGACUGCCGGGGUCAACUCGGAGGAAGGUGGGGAUGACGUCAAAUCAUCAUGCCCCUUAUGUCUUGG